GUCUACAGCCAUGCCACCCUGAAUGUUAUCGAUCUCAUCUGAUAUUGGAAGCUAAGCAGGGUCGGGCCUGGUUAGUACUUGAAUCACUUAGGAAUACCAGAUGCUGUAGGUG
rnacentral:rRNA from 1 species